rnacentral:lncRNA from 1 species
GAUGGGAAAUAAAAAGACUAGUAUUUCUGAUAAGUAUAUUAGAAUGUAAUUCUGGUAUAUUAUAGACCAGAUUAUUUAGGGUAUCAAAUUCAUCUAAAAUAUGUCUCAUUUAUUUUCUUUUACAUAUUCUUAGCUAAGUCAUCUUAAAUGGUGCUUAAUCUUGAAAAUCCAAGCAUUUGUUCCAAAGACUGCCCUCAGAUUUCAGAAGUGAUGUUCUGUUACAUGAUAGUCCAAAAUGGAGAGAGUUGAAGGAAGUGUAAGCUCAGGGAAGGGAAGUCAGUUAGGACUAGUGUGUUCCAAAUCAAGCUUCCAGAUACUUAGUGGCCUUAAUUAAGAGAGCAUUCUCAGGAAUACAUCUGAGAUGAUUCUCACUUACAAAAAAGAAGUCCCCUCUCUCCAUUUCAGUCUGACUAGUUCAUCAUGCGUGUCCAUGGAACAUGCCCUGUAACAUCAAAGCAUGUUGAGUGCUGCCACUGAUUAUGCCUUCUUGUAGGUAGAGGGUUCAGGUAAGUCUGGAUCCUUUGGAGUAUGCACUGUCAUCUGAAGGGUUUGGCAUGGUUUAGGCUGUGGCUUCACUGGACUACGCUCCAGCUGUAUGGAAUAUAAAUAAAGCCCAGGCAGUGCUAACCUUUCUAGAAUUACUACCCUCGUAAGUCCCAAUAUAACAGAUGCAUUUUAGCAAGGCUAAAUAUAUUUCUUCUUUCUUGUACCAAAACAAAAA